rnacentral:rRNA from 1 species
UUGAACGCUGGCGGCAUGCUUUAUACAUGCAAGUCGAACGGCAGCGGGGGCUUCGGCCUGCCGGCGAGUGGCGAACGGGUGAGUAAUGCAUCGGAACGUACCCAGUCGUGGGGGAUAACUACGCGAAAGCGUAGCUAAUACCGCAUACGCCCUGAGGGGGAAAGCGGGGGACCUUCGGGCCUCGCGCGAUUGGAGCGGCUGAUGUCGGAUUAGCUAGUUGGUGGGGUAAAGGCUCACCAUGGCGACGAUCAGUAGCUGGUCUGAGAGGAUGAUCAGCCACACUGGAACUGAGACUCGGUCCAGACUCCUACGGGAGGCAGCAGCGGGGAAUUUUGGACAAUGGGGGAAACCCUGAUCCAGCCAUUCCGCGUGAGUGAAGAAGGCCUUCGGGUUGUAAAGCUCUUUCGGCAGGAACGAAACGGCGGAAUCUAAUACAUUCCACUAAUGACGGUACCUGAAGAAGAAGCACCGGCUAACUACGU